rnacentral:rRNA from 1 species
GGCCGUACCAUGCUGAAUAUACCGGUUCUCGUUAGAUCACCGAAGUUAAGCAUCAUUGGGCGCGGUCAGUACUUGGGUGGGUGACCACCUGGGAACACUGCGUGCCGUU